rnacentral:rRNA from 1 species
ACGGGUGAGUAACACGUGGGAACGUACCUUUCGGUUCGGAAUAAUUCAGGGAAACUUGGACUAAUACCGGAUACGCCCUUCGGGGGAAAGAUUCAUCGCCGAUAGAUCGGCCCGCGUCUGAUUAGCUAGUUGGUGAGGUAAUGGCUCACCAAGGCGACGAUCAGUAGCUGGUCUGAGAGGAUGAUCAGCCACAUUGGGACUGAGACACGGCCCAAACUCCUACGGGAGGCAGCAGUGGGGAAUAUUGGACAAUGGGCGCAAGCCUGAUCCAGCCAUGCCGCGUGAGUGAUGAAGGCCUUAGGGUUGUAAAGCUCUUUUGUCCGGGAAGAUAAUGACUGUACCGGAAGAAUAAGCCCCGGCUAACUUCGUGCCAGCAGCCGCGGUAAUACGAAGGGGGCUAGCGUUGCUCGGAAUCACUGGGCGUAAAGGGCGCGUAGGCGGACUCUUAAGUCGGGGGUGAAAGCCCAGGGCUCAACCCUGGAAUUGCCUUCGAUACUGAGAGUCUUGAGUUCGGAAGAGGUUGGUGGAACUGCGAGUGUAGAGGUGAAAUUCGUAGAUAUUCGCAAGAACACCAGUGGCGAAGGCGGCCAACUGGUCCGAUA